AAGUCGUAACAAGGUUUCCGUAGGUGAACCUGCGGAAGGAUCAUUAAUGGAAAUUUAAUUCAAGGUUGUUAGCUGGCCUUCUGGGGCAUGUGCUCACCUUGUUUUUCAAAAUCCACCUUCUCUUACACCUGUGCACAUAUAGUAGUCUAUUGAUUGGAAGGGGUUCACUCCCCAACCAUUUAGUAUUCUACGUAUUCUUUUACACAUACACAAAAGUUUUUAGAAUGUUCAUAUUUGUGAUAAACACACAUCUAUAACAACUUUCAACAACGGAUCUCUUGGCUCUC
rnacentral:misc_RNA from 1 species